CUAUAAUUGAAAAGCUAUGUAACUGAUACAGAUGCUGCUUCAGAAGCUGAAUGAGCAGCAAGAUACUAAAGGAUUUAAUCUUCCCAGAAUAAAGUUUUUCCCUUGGAAUUGGAGAAAAAAUUUAGCCAAUUUCAGUUCUGUCUACAAUGAAGUUCCUACGACUUCAAGUUCCUGUUCAUUAUAACUCUCCUUUAACAUACAUCAGAAACUACAUAAUUGUACAUUAUAUCUAGUUUGAGCAAAUUUAUGUUCAAUACAUCUCGAUAAUGAGACAUUUCUGCUCAAUUUAUUUUGGUCUGCUACCUUUCUUCGUUAAAACUAGUUUGCAGUCUAGUCAAUAUAUUUACAAUCAUCCCAGAUAUCAAUGAAAUGCAGGUGCAAUUUUUGUGCAUGUAAAAUUAUGCGGAAUAAUAUUGCCCAUAACAGGCUCUACACAAAAAAAAAUUGUAGCUACUUCAUAUAUUAAAUUGUUUAUGUUCAUAAGCAAUAACAACAUAUAUUUGUAAGGACAACUAUUUUGUUGAAUAAAAGAAAAUGCUAGUUAAUGAUGUCGAUUAUGAUAAAAAUGUUAUAUACCCUUUAGCAUAAACAUGUUGUGUUAAUUUUUUUUCAUUUUCCAUGAACCAGUCUUUCGUGAGCACUCUCUAACCUUUAUUGUUUUGCUAGAAAGGUCAGUGAAAUUUCUAGAACAUGUUUGGUAGAGAUUUUAAUCCAAUUAAAAUUAAUUUUUUAACCGUUAUUUCAUUAUUUCAACCGUCAUUUUUUAAUUCUUUUCUCACAGGUAGGACCCACUUUACCUCUAACGGUCAAAAAAUCAAUUAACAAAAUCAUUACCAAACAAGCACCUAAAAUGGAAAGUGGAAAUCAUUUGUGAAUCUGACCAGAAAAGAAUGCAAGUUGAAGAUGAAAGAAUUGGAGAAACCAGAUUACCAAAUGAACAUUAAAAGAAGAUUGAUUGUGAAAGAAGCUUUAAGCAGGAAAAUCAACAGACUCUCCUUAUCUGUUAUGAAAUCCAAGAAAGAUGAAGGAAAUAGCAAAACCAAGAGCAAUGGACAAUAUGAAAGUGAUGACCAAAUGAUUUGAUGAUCAUGCAUUUGUCAAAUAAUGUUUGAAAUAUGCAUGUCUGCUAUUUUGGGUUUCCCCUCUGUUUAUUUAUUUAUUUUCAAUUUUUGGUGUGGUACUAUAAUAAAACUUUGCCC
rnacentral:lncRNA from 1 species